rnacentral:lncRNA from 1 species
UCGAACUGUACGGCUACAGUGGAGUUCAUUAGAAUAUUUGACGCCUUAUUUGACAUUGUUAAUUCUCGGAAUAUAUUAAGAAGCUCAACUAAAGCCCAAUUAAGAAGAUCCAACUAUGAUUAUUGGCGCCCUCUCUUGGAAUCAAGCUACGACUAUAUCAAAGAAUUAAAAACUUGCAGUGGUCAAGAAGUUGUUAAUACAAAGCAAAAAUCAGAAUAUUUUGGAUUUUGAUUGUAAUUCAGAGUUUUAUACACUUAUUUAAUUCUCUUAUAGAAACAAAUUAUCUAAAAUAUAUUCUAACAUACAAAUUAAGUCGAGAUCCCUUGGAACUUUUCUUCUGUGCAAUUUGCUCUGCCAAAAGGCAUAAUAAUAAUCCUUCGGUCAGACUGUUUUCCUCCGCUUAUAAAAGAUUGAUUAUUCAACAUGAGAUUAAAGGAAACAAAGGAAUAUGCCAGAUAAAUAUGGAUAGCAACCAUAUGGAAUUUAUUCGUAAACAUGGCUUAAUUGAUAAAAGUCCCUUGCAGAUCGACCGUAACUACAGCAAAGUGUCUAAUCCUACUUCUUGCAUAGCAAUUUCGAACUUUAAAAGAGUGGUCAUCACUUACUUUAUCGGAUUUGUAGUGAAAAAAUUGGGAAAAAAUAAUCUUUUGUCAAUUAUGCAUUGCAUCUUUGUGGUGUCUUGACAACGAAUUCAGGGUCGAUUAUGCCUUGAUAAAACAAAAAGAUUGGGGAGGAUCGCAUCAAACAGCACUAACCUAUUCUUCUAAGGAUGUAAUUCAAGUUUGUCUAGAAAAUGAAAAAAUGAUUGAAAUACUUUUGAAUUCUACAAAACGGACUUUGCCGAGAGAUUACAGUCUAACUCUUAAAAUUAGCUAUACAGUUUUGAAAAACAUUAGUUUCCGUAAAAAUUAAGUCUUUCAAUGCCUUAGUGAUCAUAUAUUUGAUUCAUCUCCAGAAUCUAAUCAUGUAUUUUCCCUUACAAAAGCAAUUGCUCGAUGUUAUACACAAUAAAACUAUAUCUCUUGGGAAAGCUAGAAACUGAGACUGUAGAAGGAACCAAGAUUCGUAGUGUCCUCACGAAUCUUAUACAGUUUAAGAAUAAAUAAUUUGAAAAAUAUCAAUAAUAUUUGAAAGACUUUAUUUUAUUAGUAUAUAAUAUUCUUUUAAAUAAAUGAUACUUCAUUGA